rnacentral:rRNA from 1 species
UACGUAUGUCGCAAGCGUUAUCCGGAUUUAUUGGGCGUAAAGCGCGUCUAGGCGGAAAAAUAAGUCUGAUGUUAAAAUGCGGGGCUCAACUCCGUAUUGCGUUGGAAACUGUUUUUCUAGAGUACUGGAGAGGUGGGCGGAACUACAAGUGUAGAGGUGAAAUUCGUAGAUAUUUGUAGGAAUGCCGAUGGAGAAGUCAGCUCACUGGACAGAUACUGACGCUGAAGCGCGAAAGCUUGGGGAGCAAACAGGAUUAGAUACCCUGGUA